rnacentral:lncRNA from 1 species
CAGGAGGCGACAGAGAGCUUGCGGAGGAUGGGGCAGCGGAGGGCCACGGCCGCCAGCGCCGUGUCGCCGAUGCUUUCGGAGCGGCUGUCGCAGCGGAGGGCGAGGCGGGAGAUAGCGCAAAAGCGAAGAGAGGAAAACAGAACGAGGGAAAAAAAAGAGGAAAGAGAAAAAAUAAUAAGAGUAUUUUGGUCAGUUUGCUGAAAAUUUGGAUCGAAUCUGUAAAAUCAAAAUAGCGAUCCAAUUUUGCAAAAGCUCAAAAUUAGUAGAUUUUUUUUUUACAAAAAAGGUCUUAUAAAAAUUGAUAGGAUUAUUUAUAAAAAAAAUUCGAAGUUGGGACCAAACCAAAAGUGUAAUACGGUGGUAUUUGGCGGCUGUGAGAAUGACACGUGGGCUGUGAUGCCCGUGCCACCCACGCGCCACGUGUUACAACCGUGACGUACAACGGUUGCACCAAAAAAAACCAGUGCGGGUUUCAAAGGGUGCGGAUCCGCCCCGUUUCUUACUGGAUCCGAACGGAUUCGAAAUAAAUUAAUUUUUAUGUUAUUUUUAGUUCCUAUUUACCGCUUUGUUCGAGUCGGAUUGAAAAAAGAGCGAAUUUUUUUUAUAGACUUUUGAUGAAUUAUAAUGAAUCAAUUUUUUUUGUCACAUCUUUAUCUUGUUGGUGUAUCGAUACAGAUACGAAACCAAGGAUUAAAGUGUUCAUUGGUAAGAGUCGGAUUUACCUUGCCGUAUCGUGUCAGUAAAAUAUUGACACGAUACAACUACUGUGCCCUUGGCACAAUUCAAAACCAUUUAUUCUUGAAAUUAGUAAGUAAUUUUCUCAAUAAAGUUCAAAAAAUUCGAUAAAAAUACAUAACAAAUAAUUAGCAUAUUUUAUUGCUAAAGAAAACAAAUAUAUCAUAUCAUUAUACGUUGGCACAUAUUUUUUUGAUCGGCACGCAUCGACACGGUCCGGCACGCAUCGUACCGUACCGUGCCGGUAAGUUUCCGACACGAUCCUGUGCCACGGCACUUAAAUUCUUGUACCGAACGAAUGUAUAGAGCUAUUAUACUAUCAAAAGUGUAAGGGAGUUGAUGCUUCGGACUUAUUAGCCUUUCGAAUCAAAAGUUGUAGGAUAUAAUAACAUUAAUUUAAAGAUCAGAAAUGAUUCAAGAGAUUGAUCCAAAAAUCAAAAAGUUGGAAGCACAAAUUUUCUUACACUUCCGAU